UCGAACAAAGGUGGACCCAUA
rnacentral:siRNA from 1 species